AACGAACGCUGGCGGCAUGCCUAACACAUGCAAGUCGAACGAGACCUUCGGGUCUAGUGGCGCACGGGUGCGUAACGCGUGGGAACCUGCCCUUAGGUUCGGAAUAACUCCCCGAAAGGGGUGCUAAUACCGGAUAAUGCCUUCGGACCAAAGAUUUAUCGCCUUUGGAUGGGCCCGCGUUGGAUUCGCUAGUUGGUAGGGUAAAAGCCUACCAAGGCGACGAUCCAUAGCUGGUCUGAGAGGAUGAUCAGCCACACUGGGACUGAGACACGGCCCAGACUCCUACGGGAGGCAGCAGUGGGGAAUAUUGGACAAUGGGCGAAAGCCUGAUCCAGCAAUGCCGCGUGAGUGAUGAAGGCCUUAGGGUUGUAAAGCUCUUUUACCCGGGAUGAUAAUGACAGUACCGGGAGAAUAAGCUCCGGCUAACUCCGUG
rnacentral:rRNA from 1 species